CGCCAGACUCCUACGGGAGGCAGCAGUGAGGAAUAUUGGUCAAUGGGCGCGAGCCUGAACCAGCCAAGUCGCGUGAGGGAGGACGGCCCUACGGGUUGUAAACCUCUUUUGCCGGGGAGCAACGGGCGUCACGUGUGGCGCCACUGAGAGUACCCGGAGAAAAAGCAUCGGCUAACUCCGUGCCAGCAGCCGCGGUAAUACGGGGGAUGCGAGCGUUAUCCGGAUUUAUUGGGUUUAAAGGGUGCGUAGGCGGAGCGUUAAGUCUGUGGGAAAAUGGGGGGGCUCACCCCCUUCCCGCCAUUGAAACUGGCGCUCUUGAGUGGAAGAGAAGUAUGCGGAAUGCGUGGUGUAGCGGUGAAAUGCAUAGAUAUCACGAAGAACCCCGAUUGCGAAGGCAGCAUACCGGCUCCACACUGACGCUGAGGCACGAAAGCGUGGGUAUCGAACAGGAUUAGAUACCCGCGUAUG
rnacentral:rRNA from 1 species